AGAGUUUGAUCCUGGCUCAGAACGAACGUUGGCGGCGUGGAUUAGGCAUGCAAGUCGAACGAAUCCCUAGGGGCUUGCUCUUAGGGGGAAGUGGCGAAAGGGGCAGUAAGGCAUGGGUAACCUACCCCGGGGACGGGGAUAGCCAUUCUAACGAGUGGGUAAUACCUGGCGAAAUCGCGAGGCCGCAUGGUCUUGCGAUG
rnacentral:rRNA from 1 species